UUGGGCCCAGUCCAGUCCGGUUGGGCCCAGUUGGGCAAUACCCCCAUGGGCCCAACUUGGAUCCAGAUCAAACUCGAGAAUCCGAACCCGAACCCGAAACCCAAACCCAUUUGACCAAUAAACAGAUUUUUUGCAGUUAAGCCCUUGGCAGUAUGCUAUUUCAGAAAUAGGGACUCCUGUAAUUUGUAUUUGAUCCCUAUAGGAAAGAUUUAUUACAUAAAGGCCCCCAACUAUAUUUAUUUAGUCCCCUCACUCAA
rnacentral:lncRNA from 1 species